rnacentral:rRNA from 1 species
UACGUAGGUGGCAAGCGUUGUCCGGAAUUAUUGGGCGUAAAGCGCGCGCAGGCGGUUCUUUAAGUCUGAUGUGAAAGCCCACGGCUCAACCGUGGAGGGUCAUUGGAAACUGGAGAACUUGAGUACAGAAGAGGAAAGCGGAAUUCCACAUGUAGCGGUGAAAUGCGUAGAGAUCCGAAGGAACGCCGGUGGCGAAAGCGGCGGACUGGGCACCUUCUGACGCUGAGGCGCGAAAGCCAGGGGAGCAAACAGG